rnacentral:rRNA from 1 species
CCUACGGGAGGCUGCAGUGGGGAAUAUUGGGCAAUGGAGGCAACUCUGACCCAGCAACGCCGCGUGAAUGAUGAAGGUCUUCGGAUUGUAAAGUUCUGUGAUGGGGGAUGAACACAAUGACGGUACCCCAAUAGCACGCCACGGCUAACUACGUGCCAGCAGCCGCGGUAAUACGUAGGUGGCAAGCGUUAGCCGGAAUGACUGGGCGUAAAGGGGGCGUAGGUGGACAGUUAAGUCAGCGGUAAAAGCCCGGGGCGCAACCCCGGCGAGACGGUGAAACCGGCUGUCUUGAGCUGUCGAGAGGGAGGCGGAAGGCGCAGUGUAGCGGUGAAAUGCGUAGAUAUUGGGCAGAACUCCGAUUGCGAAGGCAGCAGACCGGCGGCGAUCUGACGCUGAGGCACGAAAGCGGGGGUAUCGAACAGGAUUAGAUACCCCUGUAGUC